CUGGAGGUAUCAGAAGUGCGAAUGCUGACAUAAGUAACGAUAAAGCGGGUGAAAAGCCCGCUCGCCGGAAGACCAAGGGUUCCUGUCCAACGUUAAUCGGGGCAGGGUGAGUCGACCCCUAAGGCGAGGCCGAAAGGCGUAGUCGAUGGGAAACGGGUUAAUAUUCCCGUACUUGGUGUUACUGCGAAGGGGGGACGGAGAAGGCUAUGUUGGCCGGGCGACGGUUGUCCCGGUUUAAGCGUGUAGGUGUGUGUUCCAGGUAAAUCCGGUUCACUUUAACACUGAGGCGUGAUGACGAGGCACUACGGUGCUGAAGCAACAAAUGCCCUGCUUCCAGGAAAAGCCUCUAAGCAUCAGGUAACAUCAAAUCGUACCCCAAACCGACACAGGUGGUCAGGUAGAGAAUACCAAGGCGCUUGAGAGAACUCGGGUGAAGGAACUAGGCAAAAUGGUGCCGUAACUUCGGGAGAAGGCACGCUGACACGUAGGUGAAGUGAUUUACUCAUGGAGCUGAAGUCAGUCGAAGAUACCAGCUGGCUGCAACUGUUUAUUAAAAACACAGCACUGUGCAAACACGAAAGUGGACGUAUACGGUGUGACGCCUGCCCGGUGCCGGAAGGUUAAUUGAUGGGGUCAGCGCAAGCGAAGCUCCUGAUCGAAGCCCCGGUAAACGGCGGCCGUAACUAUAACGGUCCUAAGGUAGCGAAAUUCCUUGUCGGGUAAGUUCCGACCUGCACGAAUGGCGUAAUGAUGGCCAGGCUGUCUCCACCCGAGACUCAGUGAAAUUGAACUCGCUGUGAAGAUGCAGUGUACCCGCGGCAAGACGGAAAGACCCCGUGAACCUUUACUAUAGCUUGACACUGAACAUUGAGCCUUGAUGUGUAGGAUAGGUGGGAGGCUUUGAAGUGUGGACGCCAGUCUGCAUGGAGCCGGCCUUGAAAUACCACCCUUUAAUGUUUGAUGUUCUAACGUGGACCCGUGAUCCGGGUUGCGGACAGUGUCUGGUGGGUAGUUUGACUGGGGCGGUCUCCUCCUAAAGAGUAACGGAGGAGCACGAAGGUUGGCUAAUCCUGGUCGGACAUCAGGAGGUUAGUGCAAUGGCAUAAGCCAGCUUGACUGCGAGCGUGACGGCGCGAGCAGGUGC
rnacentral:rRNA from 1 species